GGGCGAGUACCCAAGUGGCCAAAGGGGGCAGGCUGUAAACCUGCUGGCGUACGCCUUCGGGGGUUCGAAUCCCUCCUCGCCCA
rnacentral:tRNA from 1 species